GGGCGUGUAGCUCAGUUGGUAGAGCGUGUCAUUAGCACUAGCAUCUAUCUACUUGACAAGGUCUUUGGUUCGAUUCCUAACUCGUCCA